GUCUCGUACGUGCGCGACCGCGGUCGAGACGUUUUCACAAGCGCCAAUUAGUUGUUGAUCAUCGAUCGGAGAAACCGCUCCCGGCAUUAGCGACGUACAGUUAAUCGCUGACCUAUUUACGAAACCAUUCGCGCCGGUUCGGAGCCGGAAGAAGAGAGAAGCUGUUUGGAGGAGACACCGAUGAAUGAACCGUCAUGACCUAUUUCUAGGAUUGAUUAAAUGAAACGAUGACGUUGUACAAAGGUGGAAAAAAUGUUGGUGCUGUCCUCUCUACAGCAUUGUCUCUCGACAGCAUCGUAAAUGCCCGUUCACAAUGUCGGCAAAACAGAAUUUCACUGGUCGACAUCGCAGUAAACUGCAUGUUACAGGGAUCUACCACAUCCGCGAUCGUAAAAGUUAGAACGUUAUCUUGUGUAAACAAAAUGUAUGGCAAACAAUAAAGGAGAAAUCAUUUUUCUUUGCUGUUGAA